ACCCAGGGAAGGUUAUGGGGUCAUCUGGAUUAUGGGGUCAUCACAAUGGGGUCACCCCAACCAGGGGAAGGUUAUGGGGUCAUCUGGAUUAUGGGGUCAUCCCAAUGGGGUCACCCAGACCAGGGGAAGGUUAUGGGGUCAUCUGGACCACAGGGUCACCCCGACCAGGGGAAGGUUAUGGGGUCACCCCAAUGGGGUCAGUGCAACCCAGGGAAGGUUAUGAGGUCAUCUGGAUUAUGGGGUCAUCCCAAUGGGGUCACCCAGACCAGGGGAAGGUUAUGGGGUCAUCUGGAUUAUGGGGUCAUCACAAUGGGGUCACCCAGACCAGGGGAAGGUUAUGGGGUCAUCUGGAUUAUGGGGUCAUCCCAAUGGGGUCACCCAGACCAGGGGAAGGUUAUGGGGUCAUCCGGACCGUGGGGUCACCCUGACCAGGGGAAGGUUAUGGGGUCACCCCAAUGGGGUCAGUGCAACCCAGGGAAGGUUAUGGGGUCA